GGGCGGCUAGCUCAAUGGCGGAGCGCUGUCUUCACACGGCAGAGGUUGAAGGUUCAAUUCCUUCGCCGCCCA
rnacentral:tRNA from 1 species